rnacentral:tRNA from 1 species
GGCUUCAUGGUGUAAUGGUUAACAUAUUAGAUUGUCAGUCUAAAAUCGAGGGUUCGACUCCCUCUGAAGUCG